AUCAGCAUUUAUGAUGUCAUAGUCUCUAUGGGUUAGGAAUUUGGGUACGGCUAAUGAGAUUCUCUGGCUCAGGGUCUCACACAAGAUGGCAAUCUAUGUGUCAGCCAGGGCUGCAGUCAUCUCGAGGCUUGACCCAGAAUGGAUCUGCUUCUGAGUUCAAUCACAGGGCUGUUGGCAAGCCUCAGAAGAUCCAUCCACUUCCAAGCUCACUCACGUAGCUACUGGCAGGACUCGUAUCCUUACUGGCUAUUAGAUGGAAACUUCAUUUUCUUCCUACAUGGGCUUCCCCCAACCAGGACAGUUUGCUUCUUCCACAUCAAGGUCUCCAAGCAGAAGAGGAUGAGGAAUGGUGGGCAAGAUGGAAGCUAUAGUCUUUUUGUAAUCUAAUGUCUGAAGUCACAUCUCAUCACUUUGCCCUAUUCUUUUUUUAUUUUUUUAAAUUAUACUUUAAGUUUUAGGGUACAUGUGCACAACGUGCAGCUUCCUGAUGAAUUCACUCACUUCCAAUGACAGCAGAAGGAUUACUCACACUGAUAAAGGAAAUUGGCGGAAGCUACCCAGAAGGGCCACACCUCCAAAAGGUUUUUUUAAGUACAUGAAACAUUGAUGCACGUGCCCCGCCUGGCUUGGAAGUCCAGGACCAAGGUUCCAGCUGUCUGGCUGCAUCCACAUAUGGAGGAAGGCAGAAGGUCAAGCUCCCUGCAUGGUGCAUAAAGCCUCUUUUAUAAGGCCCUUAAUCCCAUUCAUGAGGAAGGAAACUUCAUGGCCUAUCA